rnacentral:rRNA from 1 species
UACAGAGGUCUCAAGCGUUGUUCGGAUUCAUUGGGCGUAAAGGGUGCGUAGGUGGCGGGGUAAGUCAGGUGUGAAAUCUCGGGGCUCAACCCCGAAACUGCACUUGAUACUGCCUUGCUCGAGUACUGGAGAGGAGAUUGGAAUUUACGGUGUAGCAGUGAAAUGCGUAGAUAUCGGAAAGAACAUCGGUGGCGAAGGCGGCUUUCUGGACUUAUACUGACGCUGAGGCGCGAAAGCAUGGGUAGCAAACAGG